rnacentral:rRNA from 1 species
UACAGGGGGGGCAAGCGUUGUUCGGAAUUACUGGGCGUAAAGGGCUCGUAGGCGGCCAACUAAGUCACACGUGAAAUCCCCAGGCUUAACCUGGGAACUGCCUGUCAGACUGGAUUGCUUGAGGCCGGGAGAGGCGAGUGGAAUUCCCAGUGUAGCGGUGAAAUGCGUAGAUAUUGGGAGGAACACCAGUGGCGAAGGCGGCUCGCUGGACCGGUUCUGACGCUGAGGCGCGAAAGCGUGGGGAGCAAACAGG